GUCUGUAAGACUCAAAAAGGCAAGGGACACGCAGGCAAAAGCCAAAGAGAUUAUCCAUGAGGUUGAAAGCAAGUAUAGAGGAACUGCUGCAGAAUGGCUGCACAAGCUGAAGGAUACUAUAUCAACAACCAGUGGUCAUAGAGAAAGCUCUACCUCUGAUUCUCUGCUUGAGAAAGCGAGGAAGCUGUCAGCUGAGCGGCAGCAACUGCUGG